rnacentral:rRNA from 1 species
UCGGGAAUUUUGGGCAAUGGGCGGAAGCCUGACCCAGCAACGCCGCGUGAGGGAUGAAGUAUUUCGGUAUGUAAACCUCGAAAGAAUGGGAAGAAUAAAUGACGGUACCAUUUAUAAGCUCCGGCUAACUACGUGCCAGCAGCCGCGGUAAUACGUAGGGAGCAAGCGUUGUUCGGAUUUACUGGGCGUAAAGGGCGCGUAGGCGGCGCGGUAAGUCACUUGUGAAAUCUCUGAGCUUAACUCAGAACGGCCAAGUGAUACUGCUGUGCUAGAGUGCGGAAGAGGCAACCGGAAUUCUUGGUGUAGCGGUGAAAUGCGUAGAUAUCAAGAGGAACACCUGAGGCGAAGGCGGGUUGCUGGGCCGACACUGACGCUGAUGCGCGAAAGCCAGGGGAGCAAACG